GAGCUGUGAUGAUAUUUGGUUUAGCGAUGGUUGGGUCCUUCGCAUUCUUCUGAUCAAUUUCAGAAGUGAUUGCCAUGUGACUGAGCUC
rfam:Brassica rapa chromosome A3, whole genome shotgun sequence.